UCAUCAAAGGGAGGAUUUGUUGGAAGUAUCACUUUGGUGCCUGUUGUCCCUCUUCCUUCAUAAACUAGAAUCAAAACCUCUUUAAACCUAAUAAUUUAUGACAUCUGAAGCAGUAUUUGUCAGAAGUGUCUGUCGUCUCUUGGUGUCUGUUGUUCCUCUUCAAUCAUAAUCUGGAAUCAAAACUCUGAACACCCUGAAACUUUAUGACAUCUUAGGCAGGAUUUAUCAGAAGUGCCUUUCUGUCGUACCUUGGUGUCUGUUGUCCCUCUUCAAUCAUAAUUUUGAAUCAAAACUCUGAACACCCCGAAACUUGUGACAUUUUAGGCAGGAUUUAUCAGAAAUGCCUUUCUGUCGUCCCUUGGUUUCUGUUAUCCCAAUUAAUUUAGCACAAAAUGAAAAGUGGAACAAGGGAGCCAACAGUAAGAUUAUUCCCACAAAAAAAGCAUUCCUAUACAGGUAAAACAAGGAUUUAUUUAUUAUUUUAAAGGGCCGAAAAAUGUUGCACUACUGAAAUUAGAAGGUUUACGAAGGCUUAAAUUGGCCCUGAAUUUUUAAUGUUUUUUAAAUCGGGCCAAAAUAUUACAAAUUUCACGUAGAAAUACUUGUGAUAAUACUAUUAAGACUAACAAAAAAUUUCUAGCACUUUCCUUUACAAUUUAUGGAGCUAUGAC
rnacentral:lncRNA from 1 species